AUUGAACGCUGGCGGCAUGCUUUACACAUGCAAGUCGAGCGGCAGCGCGGGGGCAACCCUGGCGGCGAGCGGCGAACGGGUGAGUAAUGCAUCGGAACGUACCCUGGAGUGGGGGAUAACGCCGCGAAAGCGGCGCUAAUACCGCAUAUGCUCUGAGGAGGAAAGUGGGGGACCGCAAGGCCUCACGCUCUGGGAGCGGCCGAUGUCCGAUUAGCUAGUUGGUGAGGUAAAGGCUUACCAAGGCGACGAUCGGUAGCUGGUCUGAGAGGAUGAUCAGCCACACUGGGACUGAGACACGGCCCAGACUCCUACGGGAGGCAGCAGUGGGGAAUUUUGGACAAAUCGGGGCAACCCUGAUCCAGCCAUGCCGCGUGAGUGAAGAAGGCCUCGGUUGUAAGAGUCUUUGGUUCGGUAGGAAAGUAG
rnacentral:rRNA from 1 species